UUAAGAGUUUGGGUUCACAGCUUUUCUGAGGAAUGCUUAUCUUCAUGCAAACACAUCUUUCCAUAGCCCACUGCUUACACCUGGGACACAACUGUUAAUAGUUUCAGCAGUACCAGUGAUGUACUUAGCGCUUCUCUAGUCCAGCAUUCGUGAUGGAUGGUGACAAUUUCUAAUAUCUGAUCCUUAGCGUCUGAAGAUUUCAUGCUCAAUAAAUCUCAUGCAUUUCUUUUUUCUUAUUUGUCUGAGAACAAAACUUCCAAUGACUUUUCUGUGAUUGCCUUGGUUCAUUCUGCUUUAGCUGGCACCUGUUUGUUGAUUAGCUCAUCUAAGGAAAUUAAGUCCUGCACUGGUCUGGCAGACAGUGUGUAUGUUCUUGUGCGCAGGUGGAGAACUUGAAAAACAUAGCCUGUUAUUGGUAAAUGCAAUAAAAAUGCUAGGGAGUAACUUGCAAGAUUUUGCCGGACACAUAGAUCCAAACAGGCUAUUGCUAAGCGGGUACUGUAGACAAACACAGCUGAGUGGGUGAAAAAGCACAUAGAGGAUGGUCACAAUCAAAGAAAAUACAUUUUCAUGUAAUAAGAAAGGAGAGAACCCUCUGUCUUCUCAUAUUACAGAUACUGUGGUUUAUGAUUUUCUUUUUUAAGGUUUUUUUUGUUGUUUUUUUUCUGUUUGGUUGGUUUUUUUAAACUAAGCGUGGAAUAUAUUAUCCCAGGACAUUACUUAAGUGCUUCAGGAGUUAACCAUAUGGAGACUCAUAGCUGCAUCCCUCAAGUUUCCUGUGGCAUUAAAAACCUUACUGACUAAUCAGCACAAUAAAAAUACAUUAUCCUUUGUACAGUUUCUUCUGGAGAUAGUCUUGGCUUGAAGAGACAAAAUACAGUCUAAAGCUUCAUCCUCACAGGUCUUCUGGGACACCGGGCUCUAAAACUUAGUUCUUUUUGAAUAGCAGAAGAUGCAAAGCCAGCUCAUACUGUCUCCAAAACAGAUCAGCAUCUGCAUGUCAGCAUGUAAAACAGAACAGCGAAGAACAUGAGAUCAUUAGAUCUUGCCAAGGUUUGUCCAGUCAGGCUUCCUGUAAUGUGAUACUAAAUCUAGCAACAGAGGGAUACUGGAAAACCUAAGUGCAAUUCCUUCACAGGCAAUAAUAUGCCAUUAUAUCUUGUCUAAAUGGUUGGUUUCAUCAGUACUACUUGAUGUUAUCUAACUUGAUGUUAUCUAAAUUGUUAUCUAAUUUGAUGUUAACAGGAAAGCUUUGUAGUUGUGUAGGCAAACUCAAGCAAUCAUUACAAUGAAGAUGACUUUCAGCUUCUUCCUUUUUUGCCCCCAGAUUGAGCCCCCAUUGAGCUAGAAUCAGCACAAGGAGACAUGACCUCAUGCAUAAAAAUAUGCAGCUUCGGAUUACUUUUUUUCAUCUAUGGCUAAUCUAUCUAUGGCUAAUGAUGCAACUGCUACCUUCACCAGGGAGCACAACCCUCAUUUUUUAACAGUUUUUGAAGAGCACGAGUAUGUUUCCCACCACACAGUUGAGUUCCCUCACCUAUAGGUAAGUAAAGCUACAAUGAGAGAAGUCCUAAGAGGACAGCUGGGAGAAAAUAAGACAGCCAGCAAAUGUUACAGUUGUCUGCAUUCAGAAGAGCCUGGGAGAGAUCCACUUAGAAGCAGCAUUGAAUCCACUCCCCUUGGGGAUCCACUUGUUCUGGUGCCACCAACACCAGGCAAGUAGCCUAUUUCCUGGUUGUCUCAAUAGCUGAGACUUUUCUGGACAGAUGCACAAUUUUUUUUUAACAUAAGUUAACAGAGUUUUGUACCUUAUCAGUCCCUCUGUAUUCCUCGUAUGUUUUCACGGGGAGCUGGGUUGGUCCCUUUACGUGGGCUGCAGGACACACUUAGGGUCAGUGCAGUGUUUGCUCCUCAAAGUAUAUCCUUAUACAUUGUUUGGAUUUCCAGUGUGUAAAGUGACAGAGCUUUCCAGCACAGGAAUGAAGAAAGAAGAAAUCCUGUAGGGAAAAAAAAGCAACAGUUCAGCAGCAGGUAGCUGUCGUGAAUCCUUCGCCAUGGUGCUAGCUAUCUCAAGUCUUGGAGAAAGACCAAGGCACCCAAGCAGAAAUAUGCCGCGCUCCAAGACAAUGCAGCACCAUAUGACCAGUCCCGUCCGCAGCCUUUUUUCUCUUCAGCCAGCAGCCGCCCUCCAUACAUAUACCUCUUCUGCAGGUGGAUCACCUAAGGACUGUAUCCCUGCCAGGGAUUUGAAAAAUUAUUAUUAAUAAUAAUAAUAAAAAAAUACUCCAAC